GCAGAACGCGAAGAACCUUACCAGGGCUUAAAUGUAGUUUGACGUUAUUGGAAACAGUAAUUUCUUCGGACAAAUUACAAGGUGCUGCAUGGUUGUCGUCAGCUCGUGCCGUGAGGUGUCAGGUUAAGUCCUAUAACGAGCGCAACCCCUGUUGUUAGUUGCCAGCGAGUCAAGUCGGGAACUCUAGCAAGACUGCCGGUGCAAACCGUGAGGAAGGUGGGGAUGACGUCAAAUCAUCACGGCCCUUACGCCUUGGGCUACACACGUGCUACAAUGGACGGUACAGAGAGCAGCCAGUGGGUGACCACGAGCGAAUCUACAAAACCGUUCUCAGUUCGGAUCGGAGUCUGCAACCCGACUCCGUGAAGCUGGAAUCGCUAGUAAUCGGAUAUCAGCCAUGAUCCGGUGAAUACGUUCCCGGGUCUUGUACACACCG
rnacentral:rRNA from 1 species